rnacentral:rRNA from 1 species
CGAUGGAGGGGGAUAACUACUGGAAACGGUAGCUAAUACCGCAUAACGUCGCAAGACCAAAGAGGGGGACCUUGGGCCUCUUGCCAUCGGAUGUGCCCAGAUGGGAUUAGCUAGUAGGUGGGGUAAAGGCUCACCUAGGCGACGAUCCCUAGCUGGUCUGAGAGGAUGACCAGCCACACUGGAACUGAGACACGGUCCAG